GAUGAACGCUGGCGGCGUGCCUAACACAUGCAAGUCGAGCGAUUUACUUCGGUAAAGAGCGGCGGACGGGUGAGUAACGCGUGGGUAACCUGCCCUGUACACACGGAUAACAUACCGAAAGGUAUGCUAAUACGGGAUAAUAUGCUUUUAUCGCAUGGUAGAAGUAUCAAAGCUCCGGCGGUACAGGAUGGACCCGCGUCUGAUUAGCUAGUAGGUAAGGUAACGGCUUACCAAGGCGACGGUCAGUAGCCGACCUGAGAGGGUGAUCGGCCACAUUGGAACUGAGACACGGUCCAAACUCCUACGGGAGGCAGCAGUGGGGAACAUUGCACAAUGGGCGAAAGCCUGAUGCAGCAACGCCGCGUGAGCGAUGAAGGCCUUCGGGUCGUAAAGCUCUGUCCUCAAGGAAGAUAAUGACGGUACUUGAGGAGGAAGCCCCGGCUAACUACGUGCCAGCCGCCGCGGUAA
rnacentral:rRNA from 1 species